rnacentral:rRNA from 1 species
GACGAACGCUGGCGGCGUGCUUAACACAUGCAAGUCGAGCGGAAAGGCCCUUCGGGGUACUCGAGCGGCGAACGGGUGAGUAACACGUGGGUAACCUGCCCUUCACUCUGGGAUAACUCCGGGAAACCGGGGCUAAUACCGGGUACGACCACUUUAGGCAUCUUCGGUGGUGGAAAGUUUUUCGGUGGAGGAUGGACCCGCGGCCUAUCAGCUUGUUGGUGGGGGUAAUGGCCUACCAAGGCAGUGACGGGUAGCCGGCCUGAGAGGGCGACCGGCCACACUGGGACUGAGACACGGCCCAGACUCCUACGGGAGGCAGCAGUGGGGAAUAUUGCGCAAUGGGCGGAAGCCUGACGCAGCGACGCCGCGUGAGGGAUGACGGCCUU